ensembl:lncRNA
GUGUGUGUGUGUGUGUCCGUGUUCAGGGCUAGAGGGUUGUGUGUGUGUGUGUGUGUGUGUGUGUGUGUGUGUGUGUGUGUGUGUACCACUAGCACAGAGACUGGUGCAUUGGGGAGGGAAAGGCAGAAUUCAGCACUCACACAAACACACUCACCCUACGUCUCACACACACACACACACUCGCCCUACGUCACACACACUCACACACUCGCCCUACGUCACACACACACACACUUACUUCAUAACCGUGCAUUUCUAUGUCACACACACACACUCACUUCAUAACCGUGCGUCCCUACAUCACAAACACACACACACACUCACUUCAGACUCUAAAGGCUUAUCUUCACGAGGUUAUAAGGUAUGUUGGGCUCCUCCCUGUCUGCCGCUGAUCAGCCAAUCAGAAGAGCAGCUGGAGUAGACUAGCAAAUCACUAAUGAGGUGCAGCAGCCAAUCAGCUGAAGCUAGGAGGAGCUGUAUAAUUCCUCUGUCAUGUCAUUUAUUUACUGUAGCCAUACAUUCUCAUUCUUUAGUGUGUGUGUGUGUGUGUGUGUGUGUGUGUGUGUGUGUGUGUU